ACUCCUGCGGGAGGCAGCAGUGGGAAUAUUGCACAAUGGGGAAGCCAUCGAUGCAGCCAUGCCGCGCUGUGUGAAGAAGGCCAAUUCGGGCUUGGUAAAGACACUUUUCAGCGAGGAGGAAAGGGUGUGUGCUAAUACCAUACAUCUGUGACGUUACUCGCAGAAGAAGCACCGGCUAACUCCGUGCCAGCAGCCGCGGUAAUACGGAGGGUGCGAGCGUUAAUCGGAAUUACUGGGCGUAAAGCGUGCGCAGGCGGUUUGUUAAGCGAGAUGUGAAAGCCCGG
rnacentral:rRNA from 1 species